rnacentral:piRNA from 1 species
ACAGAUGGGAAUCUCUCUGAAUAAGAU